CAAGAUGCGAACGUCUGACAACAAGAAUUCAUGAUACACUACAAAGGAAACGUUGACCUGCAUGUAAUAAUUUGUUUUUGACUUUGAUGACCAAGUGUUUGGCUUGCUAGCUCAUCGUAUCUCAACUCCAUAAACUUAAUUGUGUAAGGUGUAUUCGAGCGACACGCCAAUAGAUCCUCUUGUAUGAGAACCCUAGGCUAAUGCCCAGGUUCCGGGAGGAAUUCAGGAAUCUUCUAAAAGCGACUAUCAUCAUGACGUGCUCCAGUUUUCAAGGUCGAUUUGAGGGAGGUUUUGAUCGGUACACCAACAGAUGCUCAAUCAACAAAAAUCCCUCUUGAUAUCCAGGAUCUGAGAGGAAUUCAUAAAUCUGCCAAAUGAGACUGUCAUCAAGACCUGCUCCAGUUUCCAAGGUCGAGUUGAGGUCAUUAUUAACGCCAAAGUUCUGGACACAUCAUCCUCGCUUCCAACAUCAUUAUUACUUGUGAGUCUCUUCUGUCAUUGAAAAGAAAGUAGAAGACGAUCCUGGACCAUGAAUUUAAUGGGGUCUUCUUUUCUAAACAUCUUUAUCACCAAACCCGUAAAACUUAUUCAACUCUCCUAUUAAUUACAUAUACGCAUAAAUAGUUCAUUCAAACUCUUACCUGAUGAAUAUGUUCAUAAAUUAUCAGCGAUCGUAUUUUUUUAGUAGAUUGAUAUUGAAAAAUAUGAAUCUGGCUUAACAUAUUUCAAAAGUUAGUGAGUCGGUAGUCAUUUUCGGAUUUACUAAAUCACUUGUCAUCAUAUCUGAAUAUCCACCUAGAGAGGAUUUAG
rnacentral:lncRNA from 1 species